GUUGCGCUCUUGCUCGGAAGCGCAAGCGCUGGGAGUGGGAGGGACCUCGACAUCGGGCUCGAGCAGGUCCUCGUCGACCGUCCUGGUUGGAGAUGGAUAUUGCCACUAAUGAGGGGAGCCCUCGGUCCACUGCCCGCCGUGGUGAGACAGAACUAGGGAGCUCCCAGUCCGCCUUCCUCCGCCGACCACAUGACGCCUCCAAUUCCAACAACGACUGUGGCGAUGAGGAGGCGUGUGUCGUCAGGAAAGACAUCCCCGAUUUGUGGGUAACUUUCCUGACCAACGAUAAGCGCCGGCGGAAGAUCGACGACGAGAGGAUCGCGUGGGCCAUAGAAGAGUCCAAGGAGCUCGAGAUAAGGUCAGCUGGCGCUCGGAGGCGGGGAUGCCGACCCUCAUCCCCAUCUCCUCCGACUCCGAGUGACCCAAGGAGCUCGCCGACGCUCGCCGACGACGCCGUGCCCAAAUCUGAAUUGAAGACUCCGAUGAGGUACCCCGUAUAAGCGUUUUAAGGCCCGGAGAUAUAUGCAAAAAACAAGUGAGAUAGCAAAUUUUUGUUGCAACAAUAUACAAGUUACAUAACUUGUCCGCACAGGUGCCCGCCCCAAACACUGGCCCAGGGCCGAAAAAGGUGAAUGUUGGACAAAGCUUUCUCUUGCCUAGUCAGUCAAAAUGCGCUCCACAAAUUUUUUGCUACGUAUGAUCUGGAGGAGGACAAUUCUAGGUGUAGUUUGAAAAUUUAUGGUUGUGUGCAUUAAUCAAUACAGAGACGGCGGGCCUCCCUUCUUUUCGAAUUUUUUUUGCUGGAGUCUGGAGAUGAUCUCGACAGAAUCGGUGAGGAAAUUCAUAGAUGGAGCUAUGAUAUUACGCUAUUCAGUUUACAAUGGGCAUGAUAUUACGCUAUUCAGUUUGUACAUACAUUAAU